rnacentral:rRNA from 1 species
AUUGAACGCUGGCGGCAGGCCUAACACAUGCAAGUCGAGCGAGCGGCGGACGCGUGAGUAAUGUACGGGGAUCUUCCAGAUAGCGGGUGAUAACUACUGGAAACGGUGGCUAAUACCGCAUACUAUCGGAUGAACCCAUAUGGGAGUAGCUAGUAGGUGGGGUAUAGGCUCACCUAGGCGACGAUCUCUAGCUGGUCUGAGAGGAUGAUCGGCCACACUGGGACUGAGACACGGCCCAGCCUCCUACGGGAGGCAGCAGUGGGGAAUAUUGCACAAUGGGCGCAAGCCUGAUGCAGCCAUGCCGCGUGUAUGAAGAGGGCCUUAGGGUUGUAAAGUACUUUCAGCGGGGAGUCGUUACCCGCAGAAGAAGCACCGGCUAACUCCGUGCCAGCAGCCGCGGUAAUAC